GAUGAACGCUGGCGGCGUGCUUAACACAUGCAAGUCGAACGGAAAGGCCCAAGCUUGCUUGGGUACUCGAGUGGCGAACGGGUGAGUAACACGUGGGUGAUCUGCCCUGCACUUCGGGAUAGGCCUGGGAAACUGGGUCUAAUACCGGAUAGGACCACUUCUUGGAUGGUGUGGUGGAAAGUUUUUUCGGUGUGGGAUGAGCUCGCGGCCUAUCAGCUUGUUGGUGGGGUAAUGGCCUACCAAGGCGUCGACGGGUAGCCGGCCUGAGAGGGUGUACGGCCACAUUGGGACUGAGCGACGGCCCAGACUCCUACGGGAGGCAGCAGUGGGGAAUAUUGCACAAUGGGCGCAAGCCUGAUGCAGCGACGCCGCGUGGGGGAUGACGGCCUUCGGGUUGUAAACUCCUUUCGCUAGGGACGAAGCUUUUUGUGACGGUACCUGGAGAAGAAGCACCGGCUAACUACGUG
rnacentral:rRNA from 1 species